CCGAAUGGGGAAACCCAGUGUGACUCGUCACACUAUCAUUAACUGAAUCCAUAGGUUAAUGAGGCGAACCGGGGGAACUGAAACAUCUAAGUACCCCGAGGAAAAGAAAUCAACCGAGAUUCCCCCAGUAGCGGCGAGCGAACGGGGAGGAGCCCAGAGCCUGAAUCAGCAUGUGUGUUAGUGGAAGCGUCUGGAAAGGCGCGCGAUACAGGGUGACAGCCCCGUACACAAAAGCGCAUGUGCUGUGAGCUCGAUGAGUAGGGCGGGACACGUGGUAUCCUGUCUGAAUAUGGGGGGACCAUCCUCCAAGGCUAAAUACUCCUGACUGACCGAUAGUGAACCAGUACCGUGAGGGAAAGGCGAAAAGAACCCCGGCGAGGGGAGUGAAAAAGAACCUGAAACCGUGUACGUACAAGCAGUGGGAGCACAGGUUUACCUGUGUGACUGCGUACCUUUUGUAUAAUGGGUCAGCGACUUAUAUUCUGUAGCAAGGUUAACCGAAUAGGGGAGCCGGAGGGAAACCGAGUCUUAACCGGGCGUUAAGUUGCAGGGUAUAGACCCGAAACCCGGUGAUCUAGCCAUGGGCAGGUUGAAGGUUGGGUAACACUAACUGGAGGACCGAACCGACUAAUGUUGAAAAAUUAGCGGAUGACCUGUGGCUGGGGGUGAAAGGCCAAUCAAACCGGGAGAUAGCUGGUUCUCCCCGAAAGCUAUUUAGGUAGCGCCUCGUGAAUUCAUCUCCGGGGGUAGAGCACUGUUUCGGCUAGGGGGCCAUCCCGGCUUACCAACCCGAUGCAAACUGCGAAUACCGGAGAAUGUUAUCACGGGAGACACACGGCGGGUGCUAACGUCCGUCGUGAAGAGGGAAACAACCCAGACCGCCAGCUAAGGUCCCAAAGUCAUGGUUAAGUGGGAAACGAUGUGGGAAGGCCCAGACAGCCAGGAUGUUGGCUUAGAAGCAGCCAUCAUUUAAAGAAAGCGUAAUAGCUCACUGGUCGAGUCGGCCUGCGCGGAAGAUGUAACGGGGCUAAACCAUGCACCGAAGCUGCGGCAGCGAACGUAUCACUUAAAGCGAUUCAGCGGGUUACGAUUGACGGAGCGAAGCGACGUCAAAGCGUAUACAAAGUCGAGUCGGUUUAAGGAUACGUUCGUUGGGUAGGGGAGCGUUCUGUAAGCCUGUGAAGGUGUGUCGUGAGGCAUGCUGGAGGUAUCAGAAGUGCGAAUGCUGACAUAAGUAACGAUAAAGCGGGUGAAAAGCCCGCUCGCCGGAAGACCAAGGGUUCCUGUCCAACGUUAAUCGGGGCAGGGUGAGUCGACCCCUAAGGC
rnacentral:rRNA from 1 species